rnacentral:rRNA from 1 species
GGGAGCUUGCUCCUGUCAGACGUCGACCGGCGGAUGGGUGCGUAACGCGUAUCCAACCUGCCCGUGUCCCGGGGAUAGCCCAUGGAAACGUGGAUUAAGACCCGAUGGUCCUGUGCUUCCGCAUGGCGGCGCAGGUAAACGUUAGGGAGACGGAUGGGGAUGCGUACCAUUAGGCAGCAGGCGGGGUAACGGCCCACCUGGCCCGCGAUGGUUAGGGGUUCUGAGAGGAAGGCCCCCCACACUGGGACUGAGACACGGCCCAGACUCCUACGGGAGGCAGCAGUGAGGAAUAUUGGUCAAUGGGCGGGAGCCUGAACCAGCCAAGUAGCGUGCAGGACGACGGCCCUACGGGUUGUAAACUGCUUUUAUGCGGGGAUAAAAAGUGCCACGUGUGGCAUGUUGCAGGUACCGCAUGAAUAAGGACCGGCUAAUUCCGUGCCAGCAGCCGCGGUAAUACGGAAGGUCCGGGCGUUAUCCGGAUUCAUUGGGUUUAAAGGGAGCGCAGGCGGAGAUGUAAGCCAGCCGUUAAAUCGCGCCGCUCAACGGCGUUCUGCGGUUGGAACUGUGUUUCUUGGGUGCACAAGAGGAAGGCGGAAUUCGUGGUGUAGCGGUGAAAUGCAUAGAUAUCACGAAGAACUCCGAUUGCGAAGGCAGCCUUCUGGGGUGUUACCGACGCUCAUGCUCGAAGGUGCGGGUAUCAAACAGGAUUAGAUACCCUGGUAGUCCGCACAGUAAACGAUGGACACUCGGUUUGUGGCCCUUGUGGUUGCGAAUCUCUAGCGAAAGCGUUAAGUGUCCCACCUGGGGAGUACGCCGGCAACGGUGAAACUCAAAGGAAUUGACGGGGGCCCGCACAAGCGGAGGAACAUGUGGUUUAAUUCGAUGAUACGCGAGGAACCUUACCCGGGCUUGAAAUGUGCAGGACGGCAGAGAGAGACCUCUGCUUUCUUCGGACCUGCAUGUAGGUGCUGCAUGGUUGUCGUCAGCUCGUGCCGUGAGGUGUCGGCUUAAGUGCCAUAACGAGCGCAACCCCUUCCGCCGGUUACCAUCGGGUUAUGCCGGGGACUCCGGCGGCACUGCCGCCGCAAGGCGUGAGGAAGGUGGGGAUGACGUCAAAUCAGCACGGCCCUUACGUCCGGGGCUACACACGUGUUACAAUGGGGGGCACAGCGAGCUGGUCCUUGGCGACAAGGAUCGAAUCAAUAAAUCCCCUCCCAGUUCGGAUCGGAGCCUGCAACCCGGCUCCGUGAAGCUGGAUUCGCUAGUAAUCGCGCAUCAGCCAUGGCGCGGUGAAUACGUUCCCGGGCCUUGUACACACCGCCCGUCAAGCCAUGAAAGCCGGGGGCGCCUGAAGU